rnacentral:rRNA from 1 species
CCUACGGGAGGCUGCAGUCGAGAAUCAUUCACAAUGGGGGAAACCCUGAUGGUGCGACGCCGCGUGGGGGAAUGAAGGUCUUCGGAUUGUAAACCCCUGUCAUGUGGGAGCAAAUUAAAAAGAUAGUACCACAAGAGGAAGAGACGGCUAACUCUGUGCCAGCAGCCGCGGUAAUACAGAGGGCUCAAGCGUUGUUCGGAAUCACUGGGCGUAAAGCGUGCGUGGGCUGUUUUGUAAGUCGUGUGUGAAAGGCGCGGGCUCAACCCGCGGACGGCCCAUGAUACUGCGAGACUAGAGUAAGGGAGGGGGAACCGGAAUUCUCGGUGUAGCAGUGAAAUGCGUAGAUAUCGAGAGGAACACUGGUGGCGAAGGCGGGUUCCUGGACAUUAACUGACGCUGAGGCACGAAGGCCAGGGGAGCGAAAGGGAUUAGAUACCCUUGUAGUC